rnacentral:rRNA from 1 species
UGGGGAAUUUUGGACAAUGGGGGAAACCCUGAUCCAGCCAUCCCGCGUGUGCGAUGAAGGCCUUCGGGUUGUAAAGCACUUUUGGCAGGAAAGAAACGUCAUGGGUUAAUACCCCGUGAAACUGACGGUACCUGCAGAAUAAGCACCGGCUAACUACGUGCCAGCAGCCGCGGUAAUACGUAGGGUGCAAGCGUUAAUCGGAAUUACUGGGCGUAAAGCGUGCGCAGGCGGUUCGGAUAGAAAGAUGUGAAAUCCCAGAGCUCAACUUUGGAACUGCAUUUAUCACUACCAGGAUAGAGUGCGUCAGCGGGGGGGGGAAUUCCGCGUCUAGCCGUGAGAUGCGUAGAUAUGCGGAGUAACACCGAUGGCGAAGGCAGCCUCCUGGGAUAACACUGACGCUCAUGCACGAAAGCGUGGGGAGCAAACAGG